AACGAACGCUGGCGGCAUGCCUAACACAUGCCAGUCGAACGAGACCUUCGGGACUUGUGGCGCACGGGUGCGUCACGCGUGGGGACCUUCCCUCGUGGUCGGCAUAACUACCCGACAGGGGUGCCAAUACCGGACCAUGUCUUCUGACCAAAGAUUUAUCGACAUUGGAUGUGCCCGCGUUGGAUUAGGUUGUUGUUAGGGUAAUAGCUUACUAAGGCGCCGAUCCAUAGCUGGUCAGAGAGGAUGAUCAGCCACACUGAGACUGGGACACGGCCCAGACUCCUACGGGAGGCAGGAGUGGGGAAUAGUGGAAAACGGGGGGAGGGAUGAUGCAGCAAGGCCGGGAGAGUGAUGAAGGCAGUAGGGUUGUAAUGCGCUAUUAACCGGGAUGAUAAUGACGGUACCGGAAGAAUAAGCCCCGGCUAACUACGUG
rnacentral:rRNA from 1 species